rnacentral:misc_RNA from 1 species
UGACAAUCUCCCAUUUUAUAAAAGGACCGCUAACACAAAUGGAGUUCCAUCACCAAAGCUGUAAAUAAAAUUAGAUCGUGGAGCAUUAUGAAAUUCAUUAAACGAUGCCCAUUCAACAAUCAUCACUACAAUAAUGGCUGCCAAUUUUCGGUGAUCAACCAUUUGAACACUAGGCUACCUUAGUCUCAGUAACAUUCAUCCCAGCGGAUCUGCAACUCAUUUUGAACUAAAAAUCUAUGUCAUUUCAUCAGACAUGAAAAACUCCAAGUAUAUCAUCAGUUAAUGAAUACCUGAUCAUCACAAUUCUAUAACCAUGUGAUGAAUAUAGACAACCAAAGAUGCAUAAACAUAUCAUUCCAG